AACUCCAUAUAAUAUCAGCUAUACUUACUCGUACAUAAUUCUACGGCUUUGUCUUUACUGGCCCGUGAUUGACUGCCGCAGACGAGUCUGGAUUAAAAGCGGAUUAUUAUCGAGAAGAAAGCCAAUGUUUGGCGUUGGUCUUACACGCGCCUACGCUUUCGUAGUAUAUUAUGACGACGACGACGCAAAGGACAUAACACUGAAAUAUUGUCGUUUGAUGUGCACAAUUAUUAUAUCCGGUCAUAUAAUCCUGUACAUAGACCGAUAUUUAACAGGUACGAAAGCCCAGCUGCUAUUAUAACGAGAGCGAAACUAUAAUAAUAAUACAGACUCGCGUAAAAACGCGUAACGGAGGAAAAUCCCAGCGGGACCCAACACGGGCAGUUACCGCGGGGUCAUGUAAACACUUGCAGGUGUGCGUUAUAGUGUUGUUGACAGUGAUAAUUGUUACCUUCGGGGGACGGUGACGGCCUGCACGCCUAUAUAAUAUAAUAUAGUCU